rnacentral:rRNA from 1 species
UACGAGGGGGGCAAGCGUUGUUCGGAAUUAUUGGGCGUAAAGGGCGCGUAGGCGGUGCGGUAAGUCACCUGUGAAAACUCUGGGCUCAACUCAGAGCCUGCAGGCGAAACUGCCGUGCUUGAGUGUGGGAGAGGUGCGUGGAAUUCCCGGUGUAGCGGUGAAAUGCGUAGAGAUGUGGAGGAACACCAGUGGCGAAGGCGGCUCUUUGGUCUGUAACUGACGCUGAGGCGCGAAAGCGUGGGGAGCGAACAGG